UACGUAGGUGGCGAGCGUUGUCCGGAAUUACUGGGUGUAAAGGGCGUGUAGGCGGGACUGCAAGUCAGAUGUGAAAUACCAGGGCUCAACUCUGGAGGUGCAUCUGAAACUGUGGUUCUUGAGUGCUGGAGAGGAAAGCGGAAUUCCUAGUGUAGCGGUGAAAUGCGUAGAUAUUAGGAGGAACACCAGUGGCGAAGGCGGCUUUCUGGACAGUAACUGACGCUGAGGCGCGAAAGCGUGGGGAGCAAACAGGAUUAGAUACC
rnacentral:rRNA from 1 species